AUUGAACGCUGGCGGCAUGCUUUACACAUGCAAGUCGAACGGCAGCACGGGAGCUUGCUCCUGGUGGCGAGUGGCGAACGGGUGAGUAAUGCAUCGGAACGUACCCAGUAGUGGGGGAUAGCCCGGCGAAAGCCGGAUUAAUACCGCAUAUUUCCUGAGGGAGAAAGCGGGGGGACCUUCGGGCCUCGCGCUACUGGAGCGGCUGAUGUCGGAUUAGCUAGUUGGUGAGGUAAAGGCUCACCAAGGCGACGAUCCGUAGCUGGUCUGAGAGGAUGAUCAGCCACACUGGGACUGAGACACGGCCCAGACUCCUACGGGAGGCAGCAGUGGGGAAUUUUGGACAAU
rnacentral:rRNA from 1 species